rnacentral:rRNA from 1 species
UACGUAGGGUGCAAGCGUUGUCCGGAAUUAUUGGGCGUAAAGAGCUCGUAGGCGGCUCGUUGCGUCGGCUGUGAAAACCCGCAGCUCAACUGUGGGCUUGCAGCCGAUACGGGCGGGCUAGGAUUCGGUGAGGGGAGACUGGAAUUCCUGGUGUAGCGGUGAAAUGCGCAGAUAUCAGGAAGAACACCAACGGCGAAAGCACUCUGCUGGGCCGACACUGACACUGAGAGACGAAAGCUAGGGGAGCGAAUGGG